AACGCACAUUGCGCCUUUUGGUAUUCCGAGAGGCACGUCCGUUCGAGCGUCAGUGAAAACCCCUCCGGGCCCCCGCUUUUUGCGACGCGGCCGCGGGACCCUGGCGAGGGGAAGUCGACCGCCGCAGCUCCCUCCGGGGGAUCGCAGGCAGGUUUUUCCCCCGCUUAAACGCGGAGAAAGCUAGCGGGCAUGAUGGUCACGACCGCGAAGACUAGUAAGCAUCACGCAUCUGUCAUCGACGGUAAAGGCCGGACGCCUCGCCUCCCCAAAACCACUGGGAAACGGACACCCUCACCGGUGACCGUCCCACCUGACUCUUGACCUCGAAUCGGAUGAGGAUACCCGCUGAACUUAA
rnacentral:misc_RNA from 1 species